ensembl:misc_RNA Metazoa_SRP Metazoan signal recognition particle RNA
GCCAGGCAUGGUGGCAUGUGCCUAUGGUCCCAGCUACUUGGGAGGCUGAGACAGGAGGAUCGCUUGAGCCCAGGAGUUGUGGGAUGUAAUGCACCAUGCUGAUCAGGUGUCCAAGCUAAGUUCAGCAUCAACAUGGUGACCUCCCAGGAGCAGGGGACCACUAGGUUGCCUAAGGAGGGUAGAACCCACCCAGGUCAGAAACAGAGCAGGUCAAAACUCUCAUGCUGAUCAGUAGUGGGAUUGUGCCUAUGAACAGCCACUGAAUUCCAGCUUGAGAAACAUAAAGAUACCCCAUCUUAA